rnacentral:rRNA from 1 species
UCCGUAGGUGAACCUGCGGAAGGAUCAUUACAGAAUGAUAAAGUGCUUAACUGCAUUUUUUCUUACACAUGUGUUUUUCUUUUUUUGAAAACUUUGCUUUGGUAGGCCUUCUAUAUGGGGCCUGCCAGAGAUUAAACUCAACCAAAUUUUAUUUAAUGUCAACCGAUUAUUUAAUAGUCAAAACUUUCAACAACGGAUCUCUUGGUUCUCGCAUCGAUGAAGAACGCAGCGAAAUGCGAUAAGUAAUAUGAAUUGCAGAUAUUCGUGAAUCAUCGAAUCUUUGAACGCACAUUGCGCCCUUUGGUAUUCCAAAGGGCAUGCCUGUUUGAGCGUCAUUUCUCCCUCAAACCCUCGGGUUUGGUGUUGAGCGAUACGCUGGGUUUGCUUGAAAGAAAGGCGGAGUAUAAACUAAUGGAUAGGUUUUUUCCACUCAUUGGUACAAACUCCAAAACUUCUUCCAAAUUCGACCUCAAAUCAGGUAGUACUACCCGCUGAACUUAAGCAUAUCAAUAAGCGGAGGAAAAGAAACCAACAGGGAUUGCCUUAGUAGCGGCGAGUGAAGCGGCAAAAG